GAAUUAGGUUAAUUAUAGACCGAGAGCCUUCAAAGCUCUAAGUAAGUAUAGAUACUUAUACUCUG
rnacentral:tRNA from 1 species